rnacentral:rRNA from 1 species
CAUAGGAAUCUGCCCGAUAGUGGGGGAUAACCUGGGGAAACCCAGGCUAAUACCGCAUACGUCCUACGGGAGAAAGGGGGCUUCGGCUCCCGCUAUUGGAUGAGCCUAUGUCGGAUUAGCUAGUUGGUGAGGUAAUGGCUCACCAAGGCAACGAUCCGUAGCUGGUCUGAGAGGAUGAUCAGCCACAUCGGGACUGAGACACGGCCCGAACUCCUACGGGAGGCAGCAGUGGGGAAUAUUGGACAAUGGGGGCAACCCUGAUCCAGCCAUGCCGCGUGUGUGAAGAAGGCCCUCGGGUUGUAAAGCACUUUCAGCGAGGAAGAACGCCUAUCGGUUAAUACCCGGUAGGAAAGACAUCACUCGCAGAAGAAGCACCGGCUAACUCCGUGCCAGCAGCCGCGGUAAUACGGAGGGUGCAAGCGUUAAUCGGAAUUACUGGGCGUAAAGCGCGCGUAGGUGGCUUGAUAAGCCGGUUGUGAAAGCCCCGGGCUCAACCUGGGAACGGCAUCCGGAACUGUCAGGCUAGAGUGCAGGAGAGGAAGGUAGAAUUCCCGGUGUAGCGGUGAAAUGCGUAGAGAUCGGGAGGAAUACCAGUGGCGAAGGCGGCCUUCUGGACUGACACUGACACUGAGGUGCGAAAGCGUGGGUAGCAAACAGGAUUAGAUACCCUGGUAGUCCACGCCGUAAACGAUGUCGACCAGCCGUUGGGUGCCUAGAGCACUUUGUGGCGAAGUUAACGCGAUAAGUCGACCG